rnacentral:tRNA from 1 species
UAUCUCAGUUGGUAAAGAAUCUGCCUGCAAUGCAGGAGACCCCAGUUCGAUUUCUGGG